rnacentral:rRNA from 1 species
AUUGAACGCUGGCGGCAGGCCUAACACAUGCAAGUCGAACGAGUGGCGGACGGGUGAGUAAUGUCUGGGAAAAUGCCCGAUGGAGGGGGAUAACUACUGGAAACGGUAGCUAAUACCGCAUACCAUCGGAUGUGCCCAGAUGGGAUUAGCUAGUAGGUGGGGUAAAGGCUCACCUAGGCGACGAUCCCUAGCUGGUCUGAGAGGAUGACCAGCCCCACUUGAACUCGGCAACGGUCCAGGCUCCUGCGGGAUGCAGCCGUGGGGAAUAUGGCACAAUGGGCGCAAGCCUGAUGCAGCCAUGCCGCGUGUAUGAAGAAGGCCUUCGGGUUGUAAAGUACUUUCAGCGAGGAGGCGUUACUCGCAGAAGAAGCACCGGCUAACUCCGUGCCAGCCGCCGCGGUAAUUC